AUUCAAUGAUCGUGAUCCUCACACCCACGCUCAAAGUGGUCGUGGACGCCUGUGCGACCACAUCUUGUUGCCUCGUGCCAUCUGCAGAAAACACACUGUGCGCGCUGUGCACGUGCACGUGCGCGUGGACACCAUGAUGCCGAUGUUCCUGACCAUCUUCCUCGGCAGUGGCGAGCACGACGCCUGUGAGGUUCCCAUCACGCCGCACACGCUGUGUCGGGACGUCCUGGACGUCUGCAGGGAGCCCGGAGAAGUCCGUUGCUACCUGACCGAGACGUGGAGAGGAUCCGAGCGCACCGUCGGGGAGGAGGAGAAGAUGAUGGAGGUGCUGCAGCGUUGGGGGCAGCGCAGAGUGGAGGUGUCUUACCUACUGAGACCCCCAGCAGAACCUGGACCACAACUAGGUGUGUGCAGGCCAGCUGAUCACAUGACGAGCACAGGUCACAUGACUGUGGACCAUGAGGUGCAGCGACUGCGGCGCUUGAGGCAUGACGGGCAUCAGGAGGCGUCGGAGCAGGAGCAGGUGCAGCGGCUGCGGGAGAACAUCCUCAAGCAGGAGGCCAAACUGCAGCGUGUGCGGGCCCUCAGGGGCCAAGUGGAGACCAAACGCCUCAGCAACAGCAAGCUGGUGGAGGAGGUGGAGCAGAUGAGCGGUGUUCUCCAGCAGAAGCAGAAAGAGGUACUGCUGGCCGUCACCCGAGUGGAGGAGCUGAGCCUCCAACUAGAGGCGCUGAGGAGCAGCUCACUGCUGCCUCCUCUUUCUUGCCUCCAUGCCACCUCCUCUUCCUCCUCUGUGGAGCUGCAGCGUCUCUGCAGAGAGCUGCAGCUGAGGAACCAGCUGAACCAGGACCAGAGCACCCGCCUACAGCAGCAGAGGGAGGGGCUGAACAAGAAGAACCUGGAAGUGGCGUCCAUGGAGCGACGCCUGGCCGAGCUCCGCCAUCGUCUCUGGAAGAAGAAGGCGGCACUGCAGCACCAGGAGAACACGGCAAACGUGUGGGCCGCUGCGGAGCCGUUGGGAGGUUCUGCUAAUGUCCAGAACAGCUGGAACAAUAACAACUUGUGUUGGUUUCCCCAGCAGGUGACAUCAGACAGUGCUGUGGCCUCCAAGGUGGCGGCGGUGGGCCCGUACAUCCAGUCGUCCUGUCAGGGGCCUGUGCUUGCCCCCCACCAAGAGGUUGUAGUGAAGCCUGCCUACCUGGACGGCACAACCACUCUGCCAAUGCCUGACCGGUCCAUGAAGCCUGCUCCCUGGUCGCUCAAAGCAGCCUCAGCUGUCAAGGCCAGGGAAGAGUCCAGCCCCGCCCAUGCCUCCACACUGCCCCGCAUGGCCAGCCUGUGCCGCUACACCUCAGAUGCCUCUGCCCCUGUCCCCUUAAGGACCAAGGAAAUGACUGAAGACCUGCUGAGGAAUCGCCAGGCGUCGUCUAUAGGUCAGACCGCGAAGCUAGCUCCGCCUCCAGUGACUGCCUUCUCCACCGGAACAUUCCCUGGAAAGAUGCGGCCAGCAGGGUGUGCUCUUCACAGUCACACCCUCCCACUGGCCAGAAAGCAGGAAAGCCCCCUUGCUGCCACCGUACGACCUUACACCCCCGAGCCCUCGGAGCCCCUCCUCCCUGUGUUGCAGAAGCCUCAGACGGUGGCGACAGCGUCCAUCUAUUCCGUGUACACGCAGCACAGCCUUUUGGGAAAGAGCUACCAGGCCAGCACGCUGCCUCGCUGCCAACCAGUGUAUGGGAAACCAGUCCUCCCGGCCAGUGGGGGGCAGCAGUCUGCCCUCUCAUGUGCUUCCAAGAGGAGCGAGAGUGAAGGUUCUGGGGCAGAGGCUGCAGAGAGAGCGCCCUCUCGACCGCUCAGUCCCACAAAGCUCCUCCCCUUCCUAUCUAUCCCUCACAGGAGCACAGGCGAUACUGACACGGAAGCCCUACGGCGACGCCACCAUGCCCCCCGGCCCCUGAAAAAGCGCAGCUCCAUCACAGAGCCCGAGGGUCCGGCAGGGCCAAACAUCCAAAAGCUUCUCUACCAGAAGACCACUCUGGCCGCCAUGGAGACCAUCUUCAUGGAGACCCCAGCCCCUGGUUCAGAGGAUGAUAUGAGUCCGCCCCCACUACCCCCACGUUCACCCAUCUCAAUCUCCACCUCCUGCUGCCCACCAUCCGCCCCUCUGGGGGAGGUCAAGGAGGAAGUGGUGUAUCCGGUCUCCUCCCAACCUCAGGAUCUGCCCUCCUCGCCCCCGCCUUACCCCCUACAAGGAGACGAAACCUUCAGUUUGCGUCCCCCCGAGGUCACUGGGCAGGUCACGGCGUUGGUGGGAAAGAAGUCUAUCCUCCGCAAAGCCGACUCAGAUCCCAUCGACCGGUCGGUCCGGGUCAAGUUCAACCCCCUGGCCAUCCUGCUGGACUCGUCCCUAGAGGGGGAGUACGACCUCGUCCGCAGGAUCAUCUACGAUGUAGAUGAUCCCAGUGCAGCCAACGAUGAGGGCAUCACGGCGCUACACAAUGCCGUGUGCGCAGGACACAUGGAGAUUGUCAAGUUUCUGGUUCAGUUUGGCGUCAACGUCAACGCUGCAGACAGUGAUGGCUGGACGCCGCUGCACUGUGCUGCCUCCUGCAACAAUGUGCAGGCGUGUAAGUUCCUGGUGGAGUCGGGGGCCGCCGUCUUCGCCGCCACACACAGCGACAUGCAGACGGCCGCUGACAAGUGUGAAGAGACGGAGGACGGCUACGCCCAGUGCUCCCAGUUCCUCUACGGCGUGCAGGAGAAGAUGGGGGUGAUGAACAGAGGGGUGGUGUAUGCCCUGUGGAACUAUGAGCCGCAGAGCAGCGACGAGCUGGGCUUCCAGGAGGGCGACUGCAUGACAGUGCUGAAGCGGGAAGAAGAGGUGGAGAGAGAAUGGUGGUGGGCGAGAUGCGGCGACUACGAGGGUUACAUCCCCCGAAAUCUGCUUGGGCUCUAUCUGAGGAUCCGCCCCCGACAGAGAAGUCUGGCCUGAGUUGCGCUGAUUCGACCUCCGAGGACCACAUGACCACAAUGUAAACAUCUGUUUACUUGUAGUCUAGAUGGACAGCCGUUAAAGAGCAAAUAACAAAAUUAAAAGAUUUAUGUUCCGCCUCCUGCCUCCACACGUCUACAUUCACGGCCAGCAUGCUAGGCUUGUAGGCUAAAUUAGAGCGUUGAAGUCAUGUCAGUUUAUUCAUGAAAUGUAAACGUUGAGCACUCACAUGCACAACAAAUGUCAAAGUUUAGUUAAAUAAUGUUUAUCUGCAAUACAUUCAGUGUUCAUCUUUUCGCUGCAAACAUCCUAAAGUGCUCAAACAAGUGAUGACAAAGUCAUGACACACAAACAACUUCUUGGAGCGUGCUGGGAAAUAAUCUGGAUCAGCGUAUGGGACAACAUCAGAUUAGCAAAGAGGAUGAGGAGAUCUGGGGGCAGGGGGUCUGCAGACCAGACCAGAACCACUGAUUCACCACACUUCAUGUCUUCAGAGCUGCUGCAGGUUCUGGUUCUGCAGGUGGUUCUGGUCAGCAGGCAGCAGACGGGUGACGUGGCCGAUGCCUUUGGUCACGCCCUCUCUGAAGAGCAGCUUGGCACCGGUCCGAAGGUACUCCGGAUGUUUGAUGAAGCGGAACCGAACGACGGCUCGCUCACCGGUUCGCAGCUCGUCCUGCAACGAAAGAAUAAACAUGCCCCCUUGUAAACAUCUUGUAAACAUGCCCCUGCAAAACAUGCGCACCUUCCCAUGGAGGCACUCGACCACGGCGGUCUGUCGCACAUUGCCCACAUGGACAGUGACCUGUGACCCUCGACGGAAGGUUUUGGCGUGGAAGAGAAGCACAAUGGCGGCCUCAAACUCACAACAGAUGGUAGGCUUCAUCUUGGGACUCACCAUCACCAUCCCCUGCAACAACAUGGCCGAUGACAUCACUGAUGACAUUGCUAAAGAGGCUGCUCUCCACGACCUCUGACCUUGCGCAGCAGCGAUCGGUCGAAGCUGCCGAGCGCCAGCGUGGCUGCUUGCCCCGCCCUCAGCAGUCUGCACGCUGAGCGGUUCCUCUGGAUGCUCACCACCUUUAGACGCAGGAAGUGACCUUCGUCUGUGGGCCCGACCACCAGACGCUCGCCUUCACGACACACCCCGCUGACACACACACACACACACACAAACACACACUUAUUAUGGCAGGGUUCACCAACGUUUUUCCUUGUGAGAGCUACUUUUACAAAAUGAAAAAGGCCAAGAGCUACUCAUUUUUGUAUCAUUUAUUUUCAGAGCUUAUUUUAAACCCAAACAAAGCAAAUAUGCUUGUUUUACCAGAACAUUAACAAAAUGCUGGUGUCCACAACUCACAUUUUGUAUUUCAGAAUGCAUUUCUUUCUACUGUUCUUUCAUUAUUAACUGAAAACCUGAAUGAAAAGCAGGCUUGCGGGCACCUCAUGUGGUUGUGGGGGGCUACCUGGUGCCUGCUGGCACCACGUUGGUGACCCCUGUAUUAUGGAAUGUCACGGCUGAGGCGCUCAGUGCUCUCUCACCUGUAUAAAGUCCCGCCCACCACCGUCCCCACGUCAGGCACAGAGUAGAUUUCGUCCACCUGCAAGUCAACGUGAGUCAGUACACUAGUGUGUCCAUUAGAGGGCACUGUGACUGCACUUGAAUUGGAGUCCCUCCAUAUAGAGUUGCGACAUGACGAGUCGAAAAAAUACGGUCACGUGACUCGUGGAGCCAUCUUGGGGCCAAUUCGCUUUUUCUUUACAGUAUUCUUGGCCGUAUUCUUGUUUAUUCCCCAAAAAUGCCGGGUUGUUGUGCAUUUGGAUGCAGAAAUAGACAUGACAAGGGUUUCAAGCUUUACAGAUUCCCUUCAGAUGUCAACAGACGGACAAUUUGGGAAAAUAAAAUCAACCGUUUGGGCUGGAAGCCGAACUCGUCUUCAAAGCUGUGCGAGUGUGUGUGUGUGUGUGUGUGUGUGUGUGCAUACUUGGAACUCCGUGAGCUGCUGCAUGAGCUCCUCUUGUUCUUUGCUGUUGCUCAGAGGAGGUAGAACAUUCAAGAAGACUUUGAGGAGCUCCAGACUUUCUCCUGACACACUGGACAGUGUCAAGAUGGGUGUGAUGCUGUGCACACACACACACACACACACAGACUAGUUAGUGCACACACAACAACACCACCACACACACACACACACACACACACACACACACAGGCACCCACCACGCCGACUGAGCAAACUGCUGAGCGGCGGUGACGGCGUCAUCCGGGUUGGACACGAGCAGAGGAACUUUGUUGCAGCCCGGCUGCUUGAGGAGUCGUUCCAGCUGACGCAGUGUUCUGUCCACGGUGCCGCGCGAGCACACGUCCACUUUACUGACCACCACGAAGAUGGGAACUUUCAGUGCCAUGGCCAGGCCCAGAUGUUCCCGAGUGGUACCAGCUGGAUGGGGGACGAGACACUCACUGUCACACCAUGAACCUUAAAGAUGCUUGUGACCUCUGUUGAUGACUCCGAGUGUUGCAAGACUUUUGCCAAGCAACAAUAUGAUCUAAACCAGGGGCGGCCAUUACGUCGAUCGCGAGCUACCGGUAGAUCGCCACAGUAGUUUGGGUCGAUCGCGUAAACGUUACUUUGUAGUUGUCAUAUGACAUCAGUCAGCUGACAUUAAGCUCCCCUCCUGAUUCGCGCUUGCUCCCCCGCAGCGUUUCAAGCUACACACGAAGAUGCAACUUUCAUCUUUAUUAUUCUGAUUAUGGAUGAACUAACUCAGCGGUAAGAUGUCUAUAUCUAUAACAAAAGUUAUCUGUUCACUUGUAGUGGCUAGUUACGUAGAAAAAAGUGUAUUGUUUACUGGCUUUGCUUGGCAUCAUGAACUCUACUACAGAAAUCAGUGUUUUCUACACGUUGGCUUCUUAAACUAUUAUUUCAUGAUGAAAUUAAAAAUGUGCCCAUUGGUGAAACCUUUUCAAUAUGUUGCCUUGACUUGGGCUGCAUUGUCUUUUACAUCAUCAUUUUAAAUUCUUGUAUAUGGGAAAUGUUUGAUAGCAAAUGCUAACUGGAUGUAAUACAUGAACUGUGUGCCCUAAUGAACGUUACAUAGCUAAUGUGACUGACAUAUUACCAGUACUCAGCUUAUGUACACAACUAUUUAGGAGUUAUGUGGAAUUAUCUUUAUUUCCAUAUUGAAGUGAAUUAUGAUAGCAACUACUUUGAUUACCUGUAAAAUGUGAAUGCGAAUACUAAUCAUGAAUAUUUACAAUAGAAUUUCAGAGUUUACUGGUUACAUUUUGUAUAUGUUAUGUUUUAUAGAAAGAGGUAGAUCAUUUUGACUUGUACUUGCAUGCUGAGAAAGUGCGUGCACUCCUGAUAUACAUGUAUAACCUACAUAAAUACCUACUCAUAUUUUUUUUUAAAUAAAUAUAGUAAAUAUAUAUACUUUCUAUAUAUAUAGUAGUAGGUGGGACUUGGUCUUUUUAAAAGUAGCUUGCAGGCUAAAAAAAGUGUGAGCACUCCUGAUCUAAACACUACACACAUCAUACAACAUGAUAUACUGUAUCAUACAUACACAUUAUACAUAAAAUAUUAUGCAUACAUUAUACACAAUACAUGCUAUAUUAUACAUACAUAUUGUACACGAUCAUAUCCAACCGAAACAAUAAUCUAUUCUUGCCUCCACUCUCCAAUAAAUCACCAGGUGCCUCCCCACAUAAAGGAGGCCUAGCACUCCCUGCAGUUGAGCAAAUAAACUCAACAAGCACUAAGAAUGGAAACGAGAAGGAGCUCACCGACACCAGUGUUGCCACUGACCACCAGCAUGGCGAAGUCGGGGCAGUAGCUGGUGAGACCAAAGAUGGUGGUCUUUAGAUACUUGUAGUGUCCAGCCAGGUCCAUGAAGGUGAUCAUCUUGGAGGAGCUCUCACAGAUCUCCUCAGCGCUGCGAGAGUCGCUGUAGUUGACCACCUACAGCAUACAUUUCAUGAUUGGAUGAACAGAUCCUUCUGGAACUUUCUACUAAAUCACGUUGCUCACUUCUCCUCUGCUGUUGAAGCCCAGGAUCUCAAAGCUGAUGCUGGACGUGCGUCCCGUUUGGAUCUCAUGAAGGUGUCUGAAGAGGUUGAGCCGCGCUCGUCCUCGCCCAUUGUCCAGCUCGCCCUGCGUCAGGACGCCGAGCAGGGUGGACUUCCCGGAAUCCACGUUCCCCAACACGGCCACACGCAGGUCCAAGAACUGUCAUGAUCCACAUGGACACUCUUUAAUUUGGAG